CAUUUUUUCGCGUGUCAGAAUGGCUUCAAACACGACCUGAGGAGGUAAACUGAGCUGUUUUGCCGCCAGUUCGCUGAUGAUUUCCAGCGCGCGUUUCUUACUCUGACAAUGAACGCCGCUACGCGUACACUCCUGGUUAAGUACACUGCUCAGUUGUAGAGUCGUAUCGUUAUUUAUCAUAAUUUCACCUAAGAACCUGUCCUGUCAGGUUGAUGGCCAGGUUCGGAGCGCUAACUGUACAAAUGGCCCGUUGUGUCACACAACAGGCCGUCCUGCACUGGCUAACUGCCCGGACAAUUAGUGUUGUUUCAGUUUAUCUUUAUGCCUGGUUAACUGCCUUGCCAGUUUAUCAAUCAAGCCGUCAAUGGCGGCAUACAUAUCCUGGCCUUCCGCGCUGGCGUGAAUUUCGCCGCCGUUAACGUGUAGCGUCGCAUCCGAGAUAUGCGUGACCUUCUCCACUUUCAACACCACGUAUACCUGAUUAAUCCGCUCAAAAUACUGUUCAAGUUUGGCGAAUUUUGUCGUCACAAAUUCACGCAGGGCUUCAGUAAUUUCGACAUUAUGUCCGGUGAUAUUGAGCUGCAUAGUGUCUUCCUUAUCGGUUGGGUCAAACCAGCUGUUUGCGUUGGUUUGACGGCGGAAUGGAUAAAGACUCUCGGUACUUCGCAACAGUGCGGCGCGCCACCAUGAUACCUUGUUCUGACAGCAGAGAGGUUAACUUGCUGUCGCUCAGCGGUUUCGCGGGGUUUUCCGCCGCAAUUAACUUCUUCACCAGCGCGCGAAUCGCGGUGGAAGAGGCUUCGCCUCCGCCUUCGGUAUUGACGUGGCUGGAAAAGAAAUAUUUGAGUUCAAAAAUACCGCGCGGGCUGUGCAAAUACUUCUGCGUGGUCACGCGGGAUAUAGUGGAUUCGUGCAUCUCGACGGCCUGGGCGAUAUCCGCCAGUACCAUCGGUUUCAUAUAUUCUUCGCCCUGUUCAAAAAAGGCUUGCUGUUGCUCGACGAUGCAGCGACUGACGCGCAGCAGCGUGUCGUUGCGGCUUUCAAGGCUUUUUAUCAGCCAUUUCGCAUCCUGUAAAUUACUGCGGAUGAACUGGCUGUCGGCAUCGUUGCGCGCGCUAUUGCACAUGGCGGCAUAGUGCUGGUUAAUCUGUAAACGGGGAAUACUGUCGCUAUUAAGCUCCACCGUCCAGCGACCGUUAUGCUUGCGUACCAGCACAUCCGGGAUAACGUACUCCGGCUCGCCGGUCUGGAUCGAUUGACCGGGUCUGGGAUCGAGCGACUGAAUCAGGUUUACCGCCUCUUUCAGCACCUCUUCUUUUAGUCGGGUAACGCGCAUCAACGUGCGGAAAUCGUGGUUGGCCAGCAGAUCAAGAUGAUCGCAGAUAAUGAGCCGCGCCUCUUCCAGCCACGGCGUGGAUUUGUCGAAUUGUGAAAGCUGGAUCAGCAGACAGUCGCGAAGAUCUUUUGCCGCGACGCCUACCGGAUCAAAACGCUGAAUACGCUUCAGGACGGCUUCGACCUCAUCGAGAUCCACCUCUACAUCGCCCAUGCUUUCGCGAAUUUCGUCCAGGGAUACGGUGAGAUAGCCGGUAUCAUCUACCGCAUCGACAAUGGAUGUCGCAAUAGCGCGAUCGGUGUCCGAGAAGGGCGUUAGCUCAACCUGCCACAUCAGAUAAUCCUGCAACGACUGCGUCGUUUCACCCUGAUAGACGGGCAGCUCAUCGUCGAUAUAAUCGCCGCUGGGGCCGGACGGCGUCCCGGCGGUGUAAAUUUCAUCCCAACUGGCGUCAAGCGGCAGCUCUUCCGGCAUCUCUUUUUGUUCGAGCGCGUCGGCGGUAUCGAGAGGAUCGUUAUCCUGAGGUUGCUGAGUGUCGAUUUCGUCAUGAAGAUCGGUUUGCUCAAGCAGCGGGUUAUUUUCCAGCGCUUGCUGGAGUUCCUGCUGAAGUUCCAGCGUAGACAACUGCAACAGACGGAUGGCCUGUUGUAGCUGAGGCGUCAUUGCCAGUUGUUGGCUAAGCCUGAGUUGCAAACCUUGCUUCAUAUUCAGAGUCGUUUUCUCCCGCUAGAGCAGCAUAGCCCUCUACCCUAUCAGAGUCUGAAGUCUUCCCCAAGAUAUACACGCUUAACGUGUUCGUCUUGCAGGAUUUCUGUCGGCGUACCGUGGGCAAUAAGGUGGCCCUGGCUCACGAUAUAGGCGCGUUCACAGACUGCCAGCGUCUCACGGACGUUAUGGUCGGUGAUCAGCACGCCGAGCCCGCUAUCGCGCAGAUGCUCGAUAAUGCGUUUGAUGUCGAUAACGGAAAUCGGGUCAACGCCGGCAAAGGGUUCAUCCAGCAGGAUAAAUUUGGGAUUAGCGGCCAACGCGCGGGCUAUUUCUACACGACGGCGUUCACCACCGGACAGCGCCUGUCCCAUGCUGUCGCGCAGAUGCUCGAUAUGAAACUCUUCCAUCAGCUCGUUGGCGCGGUCUUCUCGCUGUUCUGCGGUCAAAUCGUCACGAAUUUGCAGUACCGCCAUCAGGUUAUCAAAUACGCUGAGACGGCGGAAAAUAGAAGCUUCCUGCGGCAAAUAGCCGAUACCGCGGCGCGCGCGCGCGUGCAGCGGCAGCAGACUGAUAUCUUCAUCAUCGAUGAUGAUAUUGCCUGCGUCACGCGGCACGAUACCGACGACCAUAUAAAAGGUGGUGGUUUUACCCGCGCCGUUUGGACCGAGCAGCCCGACAAUCUCCCCGGAGUUAACGGUCAGACUGACAUCUUCCACUACGCGACGGCCUUUAUAGGCCUUCGCCAGAUUCUUUGCAGUUAAUGUUGCCAUAACGAAUUAGUUACUCUUCUUUUGCGCCGGAGUCUGGCCUUUGUUUUUGUCUUGCAACUGCGACGGCACCAGAACGGUGGUGACGCGUUU
rnacentral:rRNA from 1 species